AGAGUUUGAUCCUGGCUCAGAUUGAACGCUGGCGGUAUGCUUAACACAUGCAAGUCGAACGGUAACAGGCCCAGCUUGCUGGGUGCUGACGAGUGGCGGACGGGUGAGUAACGCGUAGGAAUCUACCUUAUAGUGGGGGAUAACCUGGGGAAACUCAGGCUAAUACCGCAUAAGUCUUACGAGAUAAAGCAGGGGACCUUCGGGCCUUGUGCUAUAAGAUGAGCCUGCGUCGGAUUAGCUUGUUGGUGGGGUAAAGGCCUACCAAGGCGACGAUCCGUAGCUGUUCUGAGAGGAAGAUCAGCCACACUGGGACUGAGACACGGCCCAGACUCUUACGGGAGGCAGCAGUGGGGAAUAUUGGACAAUGGGCGCAAGCCUGAUCCAGCAAUACCGCGUGUGUGAAGAAGGCCUGAGGGUUGUAAAGCACUUUCAGUGGGGAGGAAGGCUUUUAAGUUAAUAACUUGAGAGAUUGACGUUACCCACAGAAGAAGCACCGGCUAACUCUGUGCCAGCAGCCGCGGUAAUACAGAGGGUGCAAGCGUUAAUCGGAAUUACUGGGCGUAAAGGGUGCGUAGGCGGCAUGUUAAGUCAGAUGUGAAAGCCCUGGGCUCAACCUAGGAACUGCAUUUGAAACUGGCAAGCUAGAGUAUGGUAGAGGAAAGUGGAAUUUCAUGUGUAGAGGUGAAAUGCGUAGAUAUCUGGAGGAACAUCAGUGGCGAAGGCGACUUGCUGGUCUAAUACUGACGCUGAGGAGCGAAAGCGUGGGGAGCAAACGGGAUUAGAUACCCCGGUAGUCCAUGCCGUAAACGAUGUCAACUAGCCGUUGGGGGUCUUAGACCUGUAGUGGCGCAGCUAACGCAUUAAGUUGACCGCCUGGGGAGUACGGUCGCAAGACUAAAACUCAAAGGAAUUGACGGGGGCCCGCACAAGCGGUGGAGCAUGUGGUUUAAUUCGAUGCAACGCGAAGAACCUUACCAGCUCUUGACAUCCUGCGAACUACUUUAGAGAUAGAGUGGUGCCUUCGGGAGCUAAUUUACAGGUGCUGCACGGCUGUCGUCAGCUCGUGUCGUGAGAUGUUGGGUUAAGUCCCGCAACGAGCGCAACCCUCGUCACUAGUUACUAACGGUUCGGCCGAGGACUCUAGUGAGACUGCCUUCGCAAGGAGGAGGAAGGUGAGGACGACGUCAAGUCAUCAUGGCCCUUACGGCUAGGGCAACACACGUGCUACAAUGGCCAGGACAAUGAGAAGCGAUACCGCGAGGUGGAGCAAAUCUAUAAACCUGGUCUCAGUUCGGAUUGUAGUCUGCAACUCGACUACAUGAAGCUGGAAUCACUAGUAAUCGUAGAUCAGCUAUGCUACGGUGAAUACGUUCCCGGGCCUUGUACACACCGCCCGUCACACCAUGGGAGUGGGUUGCUCCAGAAGUGGUUAGCCUAACCGUUCGCGGAGGGCGAUCACCACGGAGUGAUUCAUGACUGGGGUGAAGUCGUAACAAGGUAGCCCUAGGGGAACCUGCGG
rnacentral:rRNA from 1 species